rnacentral:lncRNA from 1 species
AAGAAUUAAAAGAUUGCAUUAAAAAAACAGAAAUUAACUUGAACCUAGAACAAGGAUUGCAUGAAAAUAAAUGUACUGAUUGCAUAAAAAGGAUAAUUACAAACGAAAUAAAAUGAAGUUUGGAAGCCUAGUGCUUCCUCCUUCUACAAAAUAAAACAUAAAAACCAAGAAAGAAAAAUAAGAAAACUCCCCUUUCUUCCUUCCCUAAUUUUUUAUUCUUUCUUUUCAACCCGAAACAGAGCCAUGCUCUGUUUCUUUUUUUCUUUUUCUCACAAACAGGGCCUUCCCCUGUUUCUUGGCCUCAACCGAGAGCCCCCCUUGGACCCGCUGGCCACUCGCCGAGAGCUUUCCUCCCUUUUAUAGAUCAAUCGAGAGGGGGAGGAUACGUGAUUGCUGGGGAUCCGGAAGCUUGGGCUCUGGGAUUUGGGAGGACGCCGUGGAAGAUGGACGGAUGCAGGAUCACUUGGAGGAGGCGGUCACGGCUUGGAUCCGGGCGCUGGGAGGAGCCGAUCAUGGCCACGAUGGAGGCUGGGAUCACGGGCGGAAGAAGAAGACGCCGGAUUGGAAGCGGGAGGAAGGCGUGGAAGGAAACGGUUGAGGGCUUCACGGCUUGAUCGGGUGCUGCAAUCGGGCGCGAUGCUGGAAGGAGAGGACGUGGGAGGCUUCGCACGGGCCGGCUGCAAGGCGGGGAUGAUGCGGACGGCGGGCUGGGAUCAUUGGAGGAGCUAUUCACGAGCGCGUGAUGCUGGAUCAGUCACAGAAGGAAGGAGAUGCGCAUGGGAUGGGGUCUCCCGUGAUCGCACGGAAUGGGGCGCGCGUGGGGUGAGCUGGGUUUGCGGGAUGCUUGUGAGAAUCUGGAAGCUUGGAGCUGGGGAGGAUGGACGACCGUGAUGCACUGCGGGAGGCUGGGAGGAAUGGAUUUAUUUGGGAUGUUGAUGAUUGGCUGGACAGAUGGCCGAGAAGGAAAUGAUCGCGGGGCCUUGAUGCGGGACUGAU